rnacentral:rRNA from 1 species
GACGAACGCUGGCGGCGUGCUUAACACAUGCAAGUCGAACGGAAAGGCCCUGCUUUUGUGGGGUGCUCGAGUGGCGAACGGGUGAGUAACACGUGAGUAACCUGCCCUUGACUUUGGGAUAACUUCAGGAAACUGGGGCUAAUACCGGAUAGGAGCUCCUGCUGCAUGGUGGGGGUUGGAAAGUUUCGGCGGUUGGGGAUGGACUCGCGGCUUAUCAGCUUGUUGGUGGGGUAGUGGCUGACCAAGCCUUUGACGGGUAGCCGGCCUGAGAGGGUGACCGGCCACAUUGGGACUGAGAUACGGCCCAGACUCCUACGGGAGGCAGCAGUGGGGAAUAUUGCACAAUGGGCGGAAGCCUGAUGCAGCAACGCCGCGUGCGGGAUGACGGCCUUCGGGUUGUAAACCGCUUUCGCCUGUGACGAAGCGUGAGUGACGGUAAUGGGUAAAGAAGCACCGGCUAACUACGUG